UGCUGGCUGGAGGGCUGUGAAGGUCGGGUCUGGAAGGAUCUGAAUCUGAUUGAGAACUGUUAGCACCAUGUUGGUCCACGCCUAAGAGAAAGGAUUUAAGAGAAUCAUCAGCUUUCUCCUGUGGUUUCAUUUGAACUCUCAGUCAAUGCCAUAAUGAAAAUCGGUGAGAAAGAUGAAUUGUAAAAAUUCUGCUUACAAAAAUGAGGCAUCCUUUCUAUAAUCAACAGAGAAAACACAUGAGAAUACAAAGAAGAAAAAAGUACAUUUUGAAUCUCGAAGAGUAAAUCCAAGGUUGGCGGCUGGUGCUGCCGUGGGCAGUUGGACACAGCUGCUGUUAGCUGCUCCAGCAGGAUGAUCCAGACUUCUAUCAGACCUGGAAUGCAAAACCAGACCUCUGUGACAUUUGGUUAGACAGGAUACAGAAUCAUUGCAAGGUCAACAGGUAAAGGAA